rnacentral:rRNA from 1 species
GAUGAACGCCGGCGGCGUGCCUAAUACAUGCAAGUCGAGCGAACGGACGAGAAGCUUGCUUUUCUGAUGUUAGCGGCGGACGGGUGAGUAACACGUGGAUAACCUACCUAUAAGACUGGGAUAACUUCGGGAAACCGGAGCUAAUACCGGAUAAUAUUUUGAACCGCAUGGUUCAAAAGUGAAAGACGGUCUUGCUGUCACUUAUAGAUGGAUCCGCGCUGCAUUAGCUAGUUGGUAAGGUAACGGCUUACCAAGGCAACGAUGCAUAGCCGACCUGAGAGGGUGAUCGGCCACACUGGAACUGAGACACGGGCCAGACUCCUACGGGAGGCAGCAGUAGGGAAUCUUCCGCAAUGGGCGAAAGCCUGACGGAGCAACGCCGCGUGAGUGAUGAAGGUCUUCGGAUCGUAAAACUCUGUUAUUAGGGAAGAACAUAUGUGUAAGUAACUGUGCACAUCUUGACGGUACCUAAUCAGAAAGCCACGGCUAACUACGUG